AACGAACGCUGGCGGCAGGCUUAACACAUGCAAGUCGAACGCAUGCCUUCGGGCAUGUGUGGCAGACGGGUGAGUAACGCGUGGGAACCUACCCCUUGGUACGGAAUUGCUCCGUGAAACUGGAGAUAAUACCGUAUGUGUCCUGAGUGACAAAGAUUCAUCGCCAAGGGAUGGGCCCGCGUCGGAUUAGCUAGUUGGUGGGGUAACGGCCUACCAAGGCGACGAUCCGUAGCUGGUCUAAGAGGAUGAUCAGCCACAUUGUGACUGAGACACGGCCCAAACUCCUACGGGAGGCAGGAGUGGGGAAUAUUGGACAACGGGCGCAAGGCUGAACCAGCCAUGCUGGGUGAGUGAUGAAGGCGCGAGGGUUGUAAAGCUCUUUCACCGGUGACGAUAAUGACGGUAACCGGAGAAGAAGCCCCGGCUAACUUCGUG
rnacentral:rRNA from 1 species